AAAGUCGUAACAAGGUUUCCGUAGGUGAACCUGCGGAAGGAUCAUUAUUGAAAUAAACCUGAUGGGUUGUUGCUGGUUCUCUAGGGAGCAUGUGCACGCCUUGUCAUCUUUAUAUCUCCACCUGUGCACCUUUUGUAGACCUUCUAGGUCUAUGUUGCUUUUUCAUUUACUCCAAUGUAUGUUAAUAGAAUGUUGUGACUAUAAAAUCUAUACAACUUUCAGCAACGGAUCUCUUGGCUCUC
rnacentral:misc_RNA from 1 species